GUAGGCGUGCCCUUGUUGGAGGAAGUGUCAGUGUUGAGGCUGGCUUUGAAGUCUCAUAUAUACUGAAGCUACUCUCAGUGCUGACUCAGUCCCCUUUUGCUGCCUAUGAAUCAAGAUGUAGAACUCUAGCUCCUUCUCCAGCGCCAAGUCUGCCUGGAUGCAGUCAUGCAUCCCACAGUGAUGAUAUUGGACUAAACCUCUAAAACUGAGAGUGCUAGUCUGUUACAUUGAUGCACCAAUCGAAUGAACUGAUUCCAGUUUGGACCAACUGUGGAUAACAAAGCUCCAAGUAUUCAAGUACAGGCCUUUUAUGUGGCUAAAGUCCUCACUUCACUUGAGCAACUAUGUAGGGGUGGGACUGUUUGAUUGCAAAGUAAAGUGCACAUAUAACAUCCCUAGACACUGCAAUACUUUCAAACAAGUUGAAUGUAGUAUCCCAUUAGGCAUCCUUAGCAGCAAGCCACUUCAAUGACAAGAGUAUCGAAACAUUUUUGGACAUAUUUCUUGUGAUUAAAGAUGCUGAACAUCUUCUACAAUA